CAUAAGCAGACUUUUUGAAUCUAAAUUCAAUUCUUUCUCCCUCAAAAGAUCUCAAGCAACAUAUUAAUGUUCGAUCAGUUGAUGAUUGCAUAGAUCGUGAAGUGAAUUUGAAUGAAGAUACAAAUAUUAUUCAAGAUUAAAUUUAUGUGCUAUUUUAAAGACUUUCAGGUAUAAGAAUGACCAAAAUGUCCUGAAAAAAUUAGGUGAAGCAAUAUGUUGAAGUUUUUGGCCUUCUUAAGAUGUGAAGGUGAUUUUGAAGUGUACACAUUUUUAUUCUCAUGUAAAACACUUCCUCUUCUUUGACACUCUUGAUCUACCUUGUACUCAUACUAUUGGAGGUUCAAUGAAGUUUUUUUAGUUUUGUCUUUUUA